ensembl:processed_transcript
GGGGGCCACCUGCAGACACACCCUGGCUUCGGGACCGUCUUCCUUCUCUUCCCCCUCGGGGCCUAGAGGAGGCCACGCGCGGGGUCUCCGAGCUCUAGGGUCCGGAGCUCUAGGGUCCUUUUAUGUAGCAAAGUCAGGCCUGGGAACAGAACUUCAUGUGCUUGUAAAAAGUCUCAGGUGCGUCCUCGUUGUUUUAGAGACUUGGAGAGGAAUGGGGGCGGGGGGAACAAAAUCCGAGGACAGUCGAGCCAAGAAAAGUCGGGGCUUCUAGGAUGCCAACCACGCCAAACAGAUCAAAACCAGGACUGGAGGACUGAAGAUGAAGCCGGCAAAAAGUCACCAGCCACGGCUCUUGUAAGGUAUGCUUCACCUCUCCUGCUAAGUCUUCAUCCCUGUCUAUGAGGACAAAGAAGUUACGGGUUAAAUUGGCGAUGGGCCAGGCGCUCCUUGAGGAUGCUCUAAAGUUCCAGGGAAUCUGAUGCCUUCUUCUAACCAUCACGAAGACAAGUUGGUGAUAGAAAAUGGGAGAACUGAAGACAACCACUUUAUAAAACCCUUGCCUGCUUGAAUUUGUGGUGAUGAGCUGUCAGAAGACACCGGCACAGGAAGUGAAGGGGCAGGAUCGCCACUCCUCCCAGUUUGCUCUGAACUGUGAGCCCCACUGAAAGGGUCAGCUUUCUUUGGUGCUCUGGCUCAGACAGCACUGUCACG